rnacentral:rRNA from 1 species
UACGUAGGUGACAAGCGUUAUCCGGAUUUACUGGGCGUAAAGAGCGCGCAGGCGGUCGUUCAAGUCGAGUGUGAAAGCCCCCGGCUCAACUGGGGAGGGUCAUUCGAUACUGAUCGACUCGAAGGCAGGAGAGGGAAGUGGAAUUCCCGGUGUAGUGGUGAAAUGCGUAGAUAUCGGGAGGAACACCAGUGGCGAAGGCGACUUCCUGGCCUGUUCUUGACGCUGAGGCGCGAAAGCUAGGGGAGCAAACGGG